CCUACGGGAGGCAGCAGUGAGGAAUAUUGCACAAUGGGCGAAACCCUGAUCCAGCCACGCCGCGUGAGUGAAGAAGUCUUUCGGUAUGUAAAGCUCUUUCAGCCGGGAAGAAAAUGACGGUACCUGACUCAGAAGCCCCGGCUAACUACGUGCCAGCAGCCGCGGUCAUACGUAGGGCGCCAGCGUUAUCCGGAUUUAUUGGGGGUAAAGGGAGCGUAGGCGGCGAGACAAGUCAGAAGUGAAAGCCCAGGGCUGAACCCUGGGACUGCUUUUGAAACUGCCGGGCUGGAGUGGAGGAGAGGUAGGCGGAAUGCGUGGUGUAGCGGUGAAAUGCGUAGAUAUUAGGAGGAACACCAGUGGCGAAGGCAGCUUACUGGACUGCAACUGACGUUGAGGCACGAAAGCGUGGGGAGCAAACAGGAUUAGAUACCCCUGUAGUC
rnacentral:rRNA from 1 species